CAACCGCAGAGCUGAGCCGAAAUGCAUCCAACACAAUUUAGAAUGCGAUAACUGUAUCAGAUGUACCUCGAGAUGCGUGGAAGCAAAUAAAAGGGGGAAAAAACAAACCAACCAACAAUCGCAAUUCUCUCUCUCAAACGCUGUGUUCGCAUCGUCAUUGUGCCUUGGGGAUUUAUUAGUCUGGCAGUUUGUCUACAGUGCGGAGGGUGAUUAUAACACAGCGCCCUCUUCUCUCCCCCACACUGGGGUGGAAGCCCCUUUUUCCUUUCUCAUGCUGUUGCUCUGCCUCCGCUUCUUCGUAUUC
rnacentral:lncRNA from 1 species